CAAACGGCUAUGAUAAGAAUAGUAAAGUAGCUUAAUUGCCUUACAGAGAGGGGAUAUAUGCUGAAAGUCCCUAGGUUAUUAUUACUUGAAGCUGCCUUUGAGCCUGACUGUCUAAUAAAUAGUCACGUUAACUACGUUACAGUUAGAUUAAGUGGCCAAUUGGCAAUUAGGGUGGUACCGCGAUUUAACCUCGUCCCUGUG
rnacentral:ncRNA from 1 species